rnacentral:rRNA from 1 species
GAUGAACGCUGGCGGCGUGCCUAAUACAUGCAAGUCGAGCGAACGGACGAGAAGCUUGCUUCUCUGAUGUUAGCGGCGGACGGGUGAGUAACACGUGGAUAACCUACCUAUAAGACUGGGAUAACUUCGGGAAACCGGAGCUAAUACCGGAUAAUAUUUUGAACCGCAUGGUUCAAAAGUGAAAGACGGUCUUGCUGUCACUAAUAGAUGGAUCCGCGCUGCAUUAGCUAGUUGGUAAGGUAACGGCUUACCAAGGCAACGAUGCAUAGCCGACCUGAGAGGGUGAUCGGCCACACUGGAACUGGGACGCGGUCCAGACUCCUACGGGAGGCAGCAGUAGGGAAUCGUCCGCAAUGGGCGAAAGCCUGACGGAGCAACGCCGCGUGAGUGAUGAAGGUCUUCGGAUCGUAAAACUCUGUUAUGAGGGAAGAACAUAUGUGUAAGUAACUGUGCACAUCUUGACGGUACCUAAUCAGAAAGCCACGGCUAACUACGUG